GACCAGACUCCUACGGGAGGCAGCAGUGGGGGAUAUUGCACAAUGGGGGGAACCCUGAUGCAGCGACGCCGCGUGGGUGAAGGAGUGCUUCGGCAUGUAAAGCCCUAUCGGCAGGGAAGAAGCAAGACGGUACCUGACUAAGAAGCCCCGGCUAACUACGUGCCAGCAGCCGCGGUAAUACGUAGGUGGCAAGCGUUAUCCGGAUUUAUUGGGUGUAAAGGGCGUGUAGGCGGGAAAGCAAGUCAGAUGUGAAAACUCAGGGCUCAACCCUGAGCCUGCAUUUAAAACUGUUUUUCUUGAGUGCCGGAGAGGCAAUCGGAAUUCCGUGUGUAGCGGUGAAAUGCGUAGAUAUACGGAGGAACACCAGUGGCGAAGGCGGAUUGCUGGACAGUAACUGACGCUGAGGCGCGAAAGCGUGGGGAGCAAACAGGAUUAGAUACCCCUGUACG
rnacentral:rRNA from 1 species